AUCACUCUGCUGCUAUGCCGCACACCCCCAAAUCUAUCAACCGCCGCAAGCUCGCCCGCGUCGGCGCGCGCCUCGCGGACGAAGGACCGCCGCUCCGAGCAGCCGAGGCGGUCGGCGUCGCUUCUGCCGAUACCGGCGAGCGGGUCGGCUGGUCGUCCCUGGCGGCGGCGGCGUCGUCGUCCCUGCUGUAGGGCGACUGGUGCGCCACGGGGACGUCCUUGUCGAAGGGGGCCUGCGCGCCGACCCACUCCUCGAGCCAGCUCCAGCGCCGGUGGAGGGCGUCCGCCUCCUCGCCCCUGGGCAGCGGCGCCGCCGGACACCCAGCCUCUCUCUCUGCAGGGAGGCGUACUGUGUCACGGCGUGCAUCUCCUCAUUGGGCAGUGGCCGGAUUUGCAGUUAGAUCCACCUUCAGAUCCCGUUUGCAUAUGAAUUUCCCCUUCUGUACCACGAAUCCCCCGAGGUAAUCCCUUCCCUCCUCUCGUUCCAGUAUUGGAGAAAUGUUUUAUGGAUUGGUUUUUCUUUUUCUCAGGGCGCAGGUUGAACAUUUUUAUCUUAUAACAUUUCUAUCUUAAUCUUAUAACAUUUUUAUCUUAAAGGCUUAAAGCAGUAGUUAAUUUUUCAUCUUAGGUUUCAAUCUGUGAUAUAAAAUUUUCUUUCGUUAUUUUGAUGCAAACUAAACUGAAUGUGUGUUGUGCAUCUUAAUGUUUUCUGCAUACUACCAUUUAAUUUCACUGCAAUAAAAGUUCUUGAACUGAUACUCUUUCACCUUAUUAGCUACAAAGAUUAUCCCUUUUAAUUGGACGAACAAGGCUUGAUCUGCAAUGUUACUGAAUGGAACAAUAAUGGUUAGCUUGUGUCCACCAUUCUUACAACAAAGCUUUGUGACUAUGUUCUACAGAAACAGACAUAAGUUCAGGUCAGAACAUUUGCUACAAAUCAUUCUUCAGCCUAUUAUCCAAUUGAACAUUAGCAUCCUACAUAGUCACUGUAAGAUUUCUAAAGAUGCACACACUGAUAUGAUCUUCGUAGGAUUGCUCUGUUGAUAAUCUAAGAAUUGUGAACAUUUUACAAACUGACAAAAUGCAGUUAUUUGCAGUUAUGAGAUCGAAAAUCUAACUGAAUGUAGUGCUCCUAUAGUCGUAUUGUACAUUUGUAUGCAUUCCAACAUGGAUACUUGGUCAGAUGCCCAACAUUAUUUUUCUAAAAUGUUUGCAUUUGUUACAAUGUUCCAUAGCUAUUUUUCAGCCCAUCAAUGAUCCAGUAUUUUUCCUAAUAGGAAGAGGAUGCCAACUGCCCAACAUAACUGCAAAUUAUAUUCAUACUAGCUUCAUUAUCACAAAACUUAUUCUCUACAACAGUAUCAUAGAUGGGUGGGAAUGCAAGCUAUAUGCAAGGCAAAUGGACUUCCUAAGUAGCCUUCACAAGUUAGUAGAUGAUGACGUUUGGCCUAGAAUGGUUUUGGAGGGUAAUCUUGUCUCUAGAUGAAAUAGAUGAGAUGGUGAGCUCAUCUCUUAUAGCUGUAGUGAAAUUUUGGUCAAAUAUGUUAUCAGCUAUGUAAAAGGAUGACAUAUGUUAGGAACAUGUAUGUUUAUUGCUUGGCUCCUUGUGUAUAUGAUGAAUGAACCUUUGAAGCUCAAUAUGAAAUAUGUACUAACUGCUCAGCUCUCACA